CGAUUAUGGUAUAGGAAAUUUUUAAGCAUACUUUUAAAUCUCUCCCAAUCUUAGUAGAGAUUCUCUCCAUUUUUUUGUGUGCAACUCAAAAUCUCGCUUCUUAAUCG